CGGCGUGCCUAAUACAUGCAAGUCGAACGCAUUGUGGUUGAAAUGAUAUGAAGAACUUGUUCAGAUUUGAUUUUCAACAUUGCAAUGAGUGGCGAACGGGUGAGUAACACGUGGGAAACCUACCUCUUAGCAGGGGAUAACAUUUGGAAACAAAUGCUAAUACCGUAUAAUAAUUAAAACCGCAUGGUUUUAGUUUAAAGAUGGUCUUGCUAUCACUAAGAGAUGGUCCCGCGGUGUAUUAGUUAGUUGGUGAGGUAAUGGCUCACCAAGACAAUGAUACAUAGCCGAGUUGAGAGACUGACCGGCCACAAUGGGACUGAGACACGGCCCAUACUCCUACGGGAGGCAGCAGUAGGGAAUCUUCCACAAUGGACGAAAGUCUGAUGGAGCAACGCCGCGUGUGUGAUGAAGGGUUUCGGCUCGUAAAACACUGUUGUAAGAGAAGAAUGACAUUGAGAGUAACUGUUCAAUGUGUGACGGUAUCUUACCAGAAAGGAACGGCUAAAUACGUG
rnacentral:rRNA from 1 species